AUGAAUGGAUCAUGUCUAAGUUGGAACAUCAGGGGCUUGAACAACCCGGCUAGAAGAUCAGUUGUGCGAGAUAUGGUCUCGAAUCAUAGAUGCAAUCUUGUAUGCCUGCAGGAAACCAAGUUGUCCAAUAUCUCCAAUGCUAUUGUCUCUGAAACUCUGGGUGCUAGCUUUGUCAACAACUUUGCAUAUCUGCCGGCACUUGGCACCCGAGGUGGUGUACUCAUUGCGGCAUCCUCUGACCACUACACCAUCACCCACAACCUCUGCUUGUUGGAGCUUAUUCCGUCAGUGUGCUUGUUACUGAUCUCGCCUCCAAUGCUGUUUGGUCUUUAA
rnacentral:rRNA from 1 species